rnacentral:rRNA from 1 species
CCUGACUAACCAUAAGAGGUCAAGCCUGCCCAGUGACAUUGUUCAACGGCCGCGGUAUCCUAACCGUGCGAAGGUAGCGUAAUCACUUGUUCUUUAAAUGAGGACUAGUAUGAACGGCUUCACGAAAGCUAUACUGUCUCCUUUAUCCAAUCAGUAAAACUAAUCUCCCCGUGAAGAAGCGGGGAUCUGUCUAUAAGACGAGAAGACCCUAUGGAGCUUUAAACAUCUUAAAACACUUGAGUACAUCAUUAAACUUCCGCAAACUUCAUUAAGCCCCUCAUUCUGCUUUAAGUUUUAGGUUGGGGCGACCACGGAGAACAACCCACCCUCCAUGUAGAAAGAACCUUUCUUCUAAGCGAAAAGCUACAUCUUUAUGCAUCAAUACAUUGACCUAAAUUGACCCAUUUCUUGAUCAACGAAC